UACGGAGGGUGCGAGCGUUAUUCGGAAUUAUUGGGCGUAAAGGGCGCGUAGGCGGUUUGGUAAGUCAGGUGUGAAAUCCCGGGGCUUAACCCCGGAAGUGCAUUUGAGACUGCCAGACUUGAGUAUGGGAGAGGGAAGUGGAAUUCCUGGUGUAGAGGUGAAAUUCGUAGAUAUCAGGAGGAACACCGGUGGCGAAGGCGGCUUCCUGGACCAAUACUGACGCUGAGGCGCGAAGGCGUGGGGAGCAAACAGG
rnacentral:rRNA from 1 species